rnacentral:rRNA from 2 species
GCGGCGGACGGGUGAGUAACACGUGGGCAACCUGCCUGUAAGACUGGGAUAACUUCGGGAAACCGAAGCUAAUACCGGAUAGGAUCUUCUCCUUCAUGGGAGAUGAUUGAAAGAUGGUUUCGGCUAUCACUUACAGAUGGGCCCGCGGUGCAUUAGCUAGUUGGUGAGGUAACGGCUCACCAAGGCAACGAUGCAUAGCCGACCUGAGAGGGUGAUCGGCCACACUGGGACUGAGACACGGCCCAGACUCCUACGGGAGGCAGCAGUAGGGAAUCUUCCGCAAUGGACGAAAGUCUGACGGAGCAACGCCGCGUGAGUGAUGAAGGCUUUCGGGUCGUAAAACUCUGUUGUUAGGGAAGAACAAGUACAAGAGUAACUGCUUGUACCUUGACGGUACCUAACCAGAAAGCCACGGCUAACUACGUGCCAGCAGCCGCGGUAAUACGUAGGUGGCAAGCGUUAUCCGGAAUUAUUGGGGCGUAAAGCGCGCGCAGGCGGUUUCUUAAGUCUGAUGUGAAAGCCCACGGCUCAACCGUGGAGGGUCAUUGGAAACUGGGGAAACUUGAGUGCAGAAGAGAAAAGCGG